GUCUUGACUCUGUUGAAGUGACAGCAGGCUCAGCCACUUCAGUUUUGUUUGAGGCCUUUCUGAGUCGUAGGAAGGUUUAAUAGUUCUGGAUUGCACAGCACAGCAGGGUGAGCUGGUCCUUACUGUGUUGGGUCAC